rnacentral:rRNA from 1 species
AACGAACGCUGGCGGCAUGCCUAACACAUGCAAGUCGAACGAGACCUUCGGGUCUAGUGGCGCACGGGUGCGUAACGCGUGGGAAUCUGCCCUUGGGUUCGGAAUAACAGUUAGAAAUGACUGCUAAUACCGGAUGAUGUCGUAAGACCAAAGAUUUAUCGCCCAAGGAUGAGCCCGCGUAGGAUUAGCUAGUUGGUGGGGUAAAAGCCUACCAAGGCGACGAUCCUUAGCUGGUCUGAGAGGAUGAUCAGCCACACUGGGACUGAGACACGGCCCAGACUCCUACGGGAGGCAGCAGUGGGGAAUAUUGGACAAUGGGCGAAAGCCUGAUCCAGCAAUGCCGCGUGAGUGAUGAAGGCCCUAGGGUUGUAAAGCUCUUUUACCCGGGAUGAUAAUGACAGUACCGGGAGAAUAAGCCCCGGCUAACUCCGUGCCAGCCGCCGCAGUAACAC